rnacentral:misc_RNA from 1 species
CGCAUCUUGCGCCUGGUGGUAUUCCGCCAGGUAUGCCUGUCUGAGUGUCCCAUUCCUCUCAAAAAACUUGCUUUUUAUCGAGCUCGUCUUUUGGAUCAUGGACUCGGUUGGAGCGUCAUGCUUAACCAGUCUUAAACAAAGUCGGUCUUUGAUUUCGCAACGGCUUGACCGAGUGUUGUAUUAUCCUCACUUGGGACGUUUGGAAUCGUUGGCCACCAACUGCAAAACUUUUUUGUUUUAGACCUCAGAUCAGGUAGGAUUACCCGCUGAACUUAA